rnacentral:rRNA from 1 species
GACGAACGCUGGCGGCGUGCUUAACACAUGCAAGUCGAACGGUGAUGCUCCAGCUUGCUGGAGUGGAUCAGUGGCGAACGGGUGAGUAACACGUGAGCAACCUGCCCCAGACUCUGGAAUAAGCGCUGGAAACGGCGUCUAAUACUGGAUACGAAACUGGCCCGCAUGGGCAUGGUUUGGACAGUUUUUCGGUUUGGGAUGGGCUCGCGGCCUAUCAGCUUGUUGGUGAGGUAAUGGCUCACCAAGGCGACGACGGGUAGCCGGCCUGAGAGGGCGACCGGCCACACUGGGACUGGGACACGGCCCAGACGCCUACGGGAGGCAGCGGUGGGAAAUAUUGCACAACGGGCGAAAGCCUGAUGCAGCGACGCCGCGUGGGGGAUGACGGCCUUCGGGUUGUAAACCUCUUCAGCAGGGAAGAAGCGAAAGUGACGGUACCUGCAGAAGAAGCACCGGCUAACUACGUG